UAUACAACCUCUGUGUCCCUUUCUGCUAAAUUACGGAAUCUCUUAAUUUCUAUAGUUUUUAGGACUCCACCACUACCUUAUUAUUGGAAAGUGAACUGAGCUGAAUUUGUUGAAAUGAUACAUGGAAGACUUUGAAAUUCAGACAAAGACUUUGAGCAGAGCAAUGAUAAAAAGGAGGAUUUUAACUAGAAGAUUAAUCUGGUCACAGAAUCAGAAAUUUCAGAAAGAAAUGGUGCCUCAGAAGUAAUACGUGCUUUGCAGAAUCUGAGAGAACAGAGUGCUGCGUAGGGACAGCGUAAUUCCUCUUGUUUCACUUACAGUUUAAAAAUCAUAAGAUUUGGAAAUACUUUUUCUUGUCUUG
rnacentral:lncRNA from 1 species